rnacentral:rRNA from 1 species
AUACGGAGGAUCCGAGCGUUAUCCGGAUUUAUUGGGUUUAAAGGGUGCGUAGGUGGUUUGAUAAGUCAGCGGUGAAAGUUUGCAGCUUAACUGCAAAAAUGCCGUUGAAACUGUCGGACUUGAGUGUAAAUGAGGUAGGCGGAAUGCGUGGUGUAGCGGUGAAAUGCAUAGAUAUCACGCAGAACUCCGAUUGCGAAGGCAGCGUACUAAGCUACAACUGACACUGAAGCACGAAAGCGUGGGGAUCAAACAGGAUUAGAUACCCUGGUAGUCCACGCAGUAAACGAUGAUUACUAGCUGUUUGCGAUACACAGUAAGCGGCACAGCGAAAGCGUUAAGUAAUCCACCUGGGGAGUACGCCGGCAACGGUGAAACUCAAAUGAAUUGACGGGG